GACAGAGGGUGCAAACGUUGCUCGGAAUCACUGGGCGUAAAGGGCGUGUAGGCGGGAAGGAUAGUCAGAUGUGAAAUCCCUGGGCUCAACCCAGGAACUGCAUUUGAAACUCCCUUUCUUGAGUGCUGGAGAGGAAGGCGGAAUUCCUGGUGUAGAGGUGAAAUUCGUAGAUAUCAGGAGGAACACCGGUGGCGAAGGCGGCCUUCUGGACAGUAACUGACGCUGAGACGCGAAAGCGUGGGGAGCGAACAGG
rnacentral:rRNA from 1 species